UACGGGGGGAGCAAGCGUUGUUCGGAUUUACUGGGCGUAAAGCGUGUGUAGGCGGUCUCAUAAGUCGGGUGUGAAAGCCCAGGGCUCAACCCUGGAAGUGCACUCAAAACUGCGAGGCUUGAGUACCGGAGAGGUUGGUGGAAUUCUCGGUGUAGAGGUGAAAUUCGUAGAUAUCGAGAGGAACACCGGUGGCGAAGGCGGCCAACUGGACGAGUACUGACGCUGAGACACGAAAGCGUGGGGAGCAAACAGG
rnacentral:rRNA from 1 species